rnacentral:rRNA from 1 species
UACGGAGGGGGCGAGCGUUAUUCGGAAUUAUUGGGCGUAAAGGGCGCGCAGGCGGCUGCUCAAGUCAGGCGUGAAAGGCCUGGGCUCAACCCGGGAAUUGCGCUUGAGACUGGGCUGGCUUGAGUGCGGGAGAGGAUGGUGGAAUUCCCAGUGUAGAGGUGAAAUUCGUAGAUAUCGGGAGGAACACCAGUGGCGAAGGCGACUUCCUGGCCUGUUCUUGACGCUGAGGCGCGAAAGCUAGGGGAGCAAACGGG